rnacentral:rRNA from 1 species
CGGAGCAACGCCCCGUGAGUGAUGAAGGUUUUCGGAUCGUAAAGCUCUGUUGUUAGGGAAGAACAAGUGCCGUUCAAAUAGGGCGGCACCUUGACGGUACCUAACCAGAAAGCCACGGCUAACUACGUGCCAGCAGCCGCGGUAAUACGUAGGUGGCAAGCGUUGUCCGGAAUUAUUGGGCGUAAAGGGCUCGCAGGCGGUUUCUUAAGUCUGAUGUGAAAGCCCCCGGCUCAACCGGGGAGGGUCAUUGGAAACUGGGGAACUUGAGUGCAGAAGAGGAGAGUGGAAUUCCACGUGUAGCGGUGAAAUGCGUAGAGAUGUGGAGGAACACCAGUGGCGAAGGCGACUCUCUGGUCUGUAACUGACGCUGAGGAGCGAAAGCGUGGGGAGCGAACAGGAUUAGAUACCCUGGUAGUCCACGCCGUAAACGAUGAGUGCUAAGUGUUAGGGGGUUUCCGCCCCUUAGUGCUGCAGCU